rnacentral:rRNA from 1 species
GGGUUGUGAGGUUAAGCGACUAAGCGUACACGGUGGAUGCCCUGGCAGUCAGAGGCGAUGAAGGACGUGCUAAUCUGCGAUAAGCGUCGGUAAGGUGAUAUGAACCGUUAUAACCGGCGAUUUCCGAAUGGGGAAACCCAGUGUGUUUCGACACACUAUCAUUAACUGAAUCCAUAGGUUAAUGAGGCGAACCGGGGGAACUGAAACAUCUAAGUACCCCGAGGAAAAGAAAUCAACCGAGAUUCCCCCAGUAGCGGCGAGCGAACGGGGAGCAGCCCAGAGCCUGAAUCAGUNNNNNNNNNNNNNNNNNNNNNNNNNNNNNNNNNNNNNNNNNNNNNNNNNNUGUGAGCUCGAUGAGUAGGGCGGGACACGUGGUAUCCUGUCUGAAUAUGGGGGGACCAUCCUCCAAGGCUAAAUACUCCUGACUGACCGAUAGUGAACCAGUACCGUGAGGGAAAGGCGAAAAGAACCCCGGCGAGGGGAGUGAAAAAGAACCUGAAACCGUGUACGUACAAGCAGUGGGAGCACGCUUAGGCGUGUGACUGCGUACCUUUUGUAUAAUGGGUCAGCGACUUAUAUUCUGUAGCAAGGUUAACCGAAUAGGGGAGCCGAAGGGAAACCGAGUCUUAACUGGGCGUUAAGUUGCAGGGUAUAGACCCGAAACCCGGUGAUCUAGCCAUGGGCAGGUUGAAGGUUGGGUAACACUAACUGGAGGACCGAACCGACUAAUGUUGAAAAAUUAGCGGAUGACUUGUGGCUGGGGGUGAAAGGCCAAUCAAACCGGGAGAUAGCUGGUUCUCCCCGAAAGCUAUUUAGGUAGCGCCUCGUGAAUUCAUCUCCGGGGGUAGAGCACUGUUUCGGCAAGGGGGUCAUCCCGACUUACCAACCCGAUGCAAACUGCGAAUACCGGAGAAUGUUAUCACGGGAGACACACGGCGGGUGCUAACGUCCGUCGUGAAGAGGGAAACAACCCAGACCGCCAGCUAAGGUCCCAAAGUCAUGGUUAAGUGGGAAACGAUGUGGGAAGGCCCAGACAGCCAGGAUGUUGGCUUAGAAGCAGCCAUCAUUUAAAGAAAGCGUAAUAGCUCACUGGUCGAGUCGGCCUGCGCGGAAGAUGUAACGGGGCUAAACCAUGCACCGAAGCUGCGGCAGCGACGCUGAUGCGUUGUUGGGUAGGGGAGCGUUCUGUAAGCCUGCGAAGGUGUGCUGUGAGGCAUGCUGGAGGUAUCAGAAGUGCGAAUGCUGACAUAAGUAACGAUAAAGCGGGUGAAAAGCCCGCUCGCCGGAAGACCAAGGGUUCCUGUCCAACGUUAAUCGGGGCAGGGUGAGUCGACCCCUAAGGCGAGGCCGAAAGGCGUAGUCGAUGGGAAACAGGUUAAUAUUCCUGUACUUGGUGUUACUGCGAAGGGGGGACGGAGAAGGCUAUGUUGGCCGGGCGACGGUUGUCCCGGUUUAAGCGUGUAGGCUGGUUUUCCAGGCAAAUCCGGAAAAUCAAGGCUGAGGCGUGAUGACGAGGCACUACGGUGCUGAAGCAACAAAUGCCCUGCUUCCAGGAAAAGCCUCUAAGCAUCAGGUAACAUCAAAUCGUACCCCAAACCGACACAGGUGGUCAGGUAGAGAAUACCAAGGCGCUUGAGAGAACUCGGGUGAAGGAACUAGGCAAAAUGGUGCCGUAACUUCGGGAGAAGGCACGCUGAUAUGUAGGUGAAGUCCCUCGCGGAUGGAGCUGAAAUCAGUCGAAGAUACCAGCUGGCUGCAACUGUUUAUUAAAAACACAGCACUGUGCAAACACGAAAGUGGACGUAUACGGUGUGACGCCUGCCCGGUGCCGGAAGGUUAAUUGAUGGGGUCAGCGCAAGCGAAGCUCUUGAUCGAAGCCCCGGUAAACGGCGGCCGUAACUAUAACGGUCCUAAGGUAGCGAAAUUCCUUGUCGGGUAAGUUCCGACCUGCACGAAUGGCGUAAUGAUGGCCAGGCUGUCUCCACCCGAGACUCAGUGAAAUUGAACUCGCUGUGAAGAUGCAGUGUACCCGCGGCAAGACGGAAAGACCCCGUGAACCUUUACUAUAGCUUGACACUGAACAUUGAGCCUUGAUGUGUAGGAUAGGUGGGAGGCUUUGAAGUGUGGACGCCAGUCUGCAUGGAGCCGACCUUGAAAUACCACCCUUUAAUGUUUGAUGUUCUAACGUUGACCCGUAAUCCGGGUUGCGGACAGUGUCUGGUGGGUAGUUUGACUGGGGCGGUCUCCUCCUAAAGAGUAACGGAGGAGCACGAAGGUUGGCUAAUCCUGGUCGGACAUCAGGAGGUUAGUGCAAUGGCAUAAGCCAGCUUGACUGCGAGCGUGACGGCGCGAGCAGGUGCGAAAGCAGGUCAUAGUGAUCCGGUGGUUCUGAAUGGAAGGGCCAUCGCUCAACGGAUAAAAGGUACUCCGGGGAUAACAGGCUGAUACCGCCCAAGAGUUCAUAUCGACGGCGGUGUUUGGCACCUCGAUGUCGGCUCAUCACAUCCUGGGGCUGAAGUAGGUCCCAAGGGUAUGGCUGUUCGCCAUUUAAAGUGGUACGCGAGCUGGGUUUAGAACGUCGUGAGACAGUUCGGUCCCUAUCUGCCGUGGGCGCUGGAGAACUGAGGGGGGCUGCUCCUAGUACGAGAGGACCGGAGUGGACGCAUCACUGGUGUUCGGGUUGUCAUGCCAAUGGCACUGCCCGGUAGCUAAAUGCGGAAGAGAUAAGUGCUGAAAGCAUCUAAGCACGAAACUUGCCCCGAGAUGAGUUCUCCCUGACUCCUUGAGAGUCCUGAAGGAACGUUGAAGACGACGACGUUGAUAGGCCGGGUGUGUAAGCGCAGCGAUGCGUUGAGCUAACCGGUACUAAUGAACCGUGAGGCUUAACCUUACAACGCCGAAG